UUGCUUUGGCAACACAUACACUAAAAGUGGAACGAUACAGAGAUUAGCAUGGCCCCUGUGCAAGGAUGACACGCAAAUUCGUGAAGCGUUCCAUAUUUUU
rnacentral:snRNA from 1 species